AUUCGGCGGCCGUUCGCCGUUCUGCUGUAAAAUCUAUUUUUUAAAAAUCGGUCUCGGUCAUGCCUCGUCUACGGGGCGUGUCGGCUAGGUUUCCAAUUGAGCCAUGAGCAAUAUGGUUUUUUCCGGAAGUUUGAACAAUUGUAAUGUUGCAUAGUUAGAAUGUUGUAAGCAUUAAUUAAUACCAAAAAGUUAGUCUAUGUUAUUCGUUUGCCCAAAAUCCAAAUUGACAGUUUGUGCUAUUCACUGGUGCCAGACUGGUGCCCCGUCCUCUUUACACGUGAGUCGUUGCCUACUGCCGUGCCAUGCACGUGGUAGAAACAAAGUAGCCAAGACAAAGAAAUGUUGAAACCAUCUCAGGAUUCAAAAAUUACACAAGCAGGAAUCUCAUAUUCCAGUCUACAAACCCAUCACAGUGACCAUAGCUGGCAACAAAGUCGAACAACACUGCUGUAAAAAAAACCUCUAGCCACUGAGAAUGUUGAAAUUAUAACGCCGAAAAUUGCUGAAUCAUUGACAUGGACAGCCCACUUUCUGCCUAGAUGUUCCAGAGUUGGAGAAAAUCGAGAUUUGUUUUUAAUAAGCUGGUGGCUCAGUUGGAUGCUGGGUCCAAACAAAUUCAUAAUCUUUACGACAAGGAACUAUUGGUCGUCAAAAUUUGCUGGGCAAGCAGCAAGGAUACCUCCCCAAGUGUACACGAAUCGACCCUUAAAGUAAAGUGUUACUUGUUUCACUGCCAUCUGUGUGGGGGACUAUACCUCGACAAACCAAGCAUGUGGAGCAUAAUACCGGCAAUGCUUAAUUCUCCUGUUUUCCAGUUCUUCACUUUUUACUUUUUCUCCGUCACAAGGACUCGUCUACCCCUCUUUCUACAUUCACCUGUGACGGAUGCUUGCACGCCAAAUUGUGACGGAAUUUACGGGAAUUUUUGCUGUUAACUGAAGUUCAUGAAACUAUCGGGCAGUUGCAUAUAAAUGGAAAGGAUUCGUUUUCCCGACAAGAUGCUGAUCAUCAUGGCCUUUUGAUCUCCUGCUGGAACCCAUUGUACAGGAUUUGAAGAAUUAAUUUGAGCUCCAAUCGUCAUAUUCCGAGUGCUAAACUUGCAAUCUCCAGCCUUAGCUGUGUAAGGGUACCGUAGGAUUUUUCAUCAGUUUGGCCGCAGUUGGAAGUAUUGUCAAGCUUCAUGUUUCCAUCCGCCAGAGCAGCCGUUAGCCCUACUGUAGUCUAUUAUCUUCUAUUCACUGUUUAAGUGUUAAGCAGAAAAAAGAUUCUUUCCUCCUUUUUUUACACUUUCCGAAUUCGACGACUGCGCAGUAGCGGAAUGGGCCCAGCAGCUGCCAUAUCUACCCUGGUUCCUUACAGGCGGCAUGCACAAAUCAUUACGUAGUAGGCCUACAACUGACUUACUCUGCUCAAUUGUCGCUCAGACGAGAUACCAGGCAAAUUGGAAGGUGGGACCGGUUCAAGUGCUCCGAAAUAAGAUUGCUGUUCGUCUUCAGUCUUUAAAAUGAACAAGGGAAGCAGACGGAUCUACUUUACAGAAAAUUUCUAAAAAGAGUUGUGCUCCGUAAUCUUGGCAUGCGUUUCCUCAAAGAUGGAUUCGCGUUUUCCUAAUUCGGCUUUCGUUUGAACUCCUAACGGGAAUUCGUCCUUUGGAGUGAAACCUGGAUAUUAAUUUCCCCACAAAUAUGAACCAAGAUGAGAAUGCAAAUACUUUUUGCCAUUUUAUUACGGUUAAGAAAAUUGAGCUAACCAACAAUCAAGAAAUAAUGGGAGUGUAGAGCUUGAUGCGUGAGAACUCCUCGGGUGUUGAUUGUGGACUCGUCAACAGGGUACGAAAUGGAAACUUGACGAGAGGAGACCUUCAACAUACUGAAACACUGAUCUGGAUGACUUGAUGACCUCGUUCUGCCUUUUCCAAUUCAUCCAUCGCUAUCAUUUCACCUGAGAAAUUUUCGGAAGAAACUUUAUAUAAAACGCUGGAUGAUGUUCAUCGGUCACUAUUAAAAUUCCAACAGAUAUUUAUCGGCGACUGGAUUUUAUCUAGCGGGCAUCCUCCCCAUCGUUGAUUCCGACAAUCCACCAGUCUCUGAAGACAACUUGCCUGAUAGAUAGUAUAUUGCAGGUCUCUUUGGAAUGAAAGUUUCGAUCGCACAGUACAUGGUAAGCUUCCAUUCAUUAAACAUGCAGAAUUCAUCAACAAAAUGUUCUCUACUCCACUCCUGCCUAACACCGAUGAUAAUCAUUUUGACGCUUAUUUGAAUUUUAGUUUUUCUUUGAAACCUUUUUUGCUGCCACUGAACUAGAUAACUUUUCUCUUGUGAUGAACAGGCUAAUGCAUGCUUUAAUUAUAAUGUAGAAUUAAAUUGAAUUAACUCUGAUCCUUUAA
rnacentral:lncRNA from 1 species